rnacentral:rRNA from 1 species
UACAGAGGGUGCGAGCGUUAAUCGGAAUUACUGGGCGUAAAGCGCGCGUAGGUGGUUUUGUAAGUCAGAUGUGAAAGCCCCGGGCUCAACCUGGGAACUGCAUUUGAGACUGCAUAACUAGAGUAUGGGAGAGGGCAGUGGAAUUUCAGGUGUAGCGGUGAAAUGCGUAGAUAUCUGAAGGAACAUCAGUGGCGAAAGCGACUGCCUGGCCCAAUACUGACGCUCAUGUGCGAAAGCGUGGGGAGCAAACAGG